UAAGAACUUAAUAUUUUUUGAUUGAUGAAUUGAUGAACAAUACAAGCUCUAUUUAUACUAGUGGAUUUACUAAAUUAGGAGCCAACUAGUCAUAGGAAAUUAAGGAAAAAAAUAUCCCAUAAUAAAAUAAAUCCCAAAAUAAUCUCCCCCACUAAGUCAACAAAAUUUUCAGCUAAUUAAUAUUGGAAAAAUUCUACUUUGGCCCUCCUUCUUUGCUUCUUUCUUUAAUUUGGCCCAAUUGUUUCCUUUUUCUUCUAUUUAGCCCAAAAUUACAUUCCUGCACAAAAUUCAAUAAAUAUGGAAAAAUUAGUGGUGCAUUCUCAUAAAUUAACCAAUUUAGUUACAUAAAAUAUGUAACUUUUAGCAUUUAAUCAUGCAUGAACCAAAUCGAUGAAAAUCAAUUAAUUCCGCGUGUGAAAUUAAUUCAAGUUUUAAGUGAAUUUUGGGUUUAAUAAUGUUAAGUUUGGAUUAUUUUGGUUUUAUAUUAUUUAAGUUUAAAUAUUAAAAUUUUAUAUUUGAAUUAUUGGAGUAAUUUUAAGUUUUUAUUAUUUUAAAUUUGAAUUAUUUUAUAACCAAAUUAAAUUAUCCUAAUUUAAGUUCAAAUUAAAUGGAUUAUAUUUUAAAUUUUAGUUAGAACCAUCUAAAUAAAUUAAUGAAUAAAAUAUGCAAAUAAAAAAAAUUUAUUAUUUACAAAAAAAUGUACAUUUAAGAGUUUUAAAGUUCAAACUUUUGUAUAAUUUAAAGUUAAUGGUAAAUAAAUAAUACAUGUCCAGCAUUUCUCCUAGUCUUUCUUUGUCCUCCAUGGUGGAGGACAAAGCGACCAAAAAGGUUUGAAUGAGAAUUGACCAGUCUAAUUUUACGAAUCAAAUUAUGGAAAUGGAGGUUUAAUCCUAAAGGGAUUAAUGAACAAUUUAAUGAGAGACUGUCUUUCAAAGAUAUGUUAGUUGGAUCUAUGAAACCAUUAGGAAGGGAUGUGCAAGGAAGAGUUGAUGACGAUUUAUAGAUUCUAGAGGGUGAUGUUACCAUUGGAACGGAGGAUGGAUUACCAUCGAUUAGGUUCUCUGAGCGGAUUCACCAAGCUUUAUAUAAAAGCAGGGUUCGGACCGUUGUUGUCAAGCUAUUUGGUUGGAAAAUUGGAAUUCAGACUUUAUCUAAUAGAAUUUACCGCCUUUGGAAGCCAUCUACACCCAUAAGUAUUUUGGACUUAGAGAAUGAUUAUUUUUUGGUGAAAUUUCAGGAGGAAGUUGAUUAUGUUCGGACCCUAAUAGAAGGACCAUGGAUUGUAUUUGGGAAAUACCUAACGAUUCAACCAUGGUCACAAUAUUUCUCUACUUCUCAGACUUACCCAUCGAAUGUGGUUGCCUGGAUUCGAUUUCCUGGUAUUAUGGUUUCAUGUACCUAAAGAGUGUUUUAACGAACAUUGGAGAAAUGGUGGGACACGUCAUCAAAUUGGAUGAUCAAACUGGUAAUGCACAAAAAAACUCGUUUUGUUAGGAUGGUUGUUCUCCUGGAUCAUAAUAAACCCUUUAUCUUUAAAAUCAAAGUGGAUGGAUGUAUCCAAGGGUAGAGUAUGAAUCCCUACCCAACAUGUGUUUCUCAUGUGGAUGCUACAGGCAUUUGAAAGAUAUGUACAAUUUUAAAUCGGGACAAGAAGGCCAAAAAGAUGAGGGAACGUUACCUUCUGUGGAUUGUGGAAAUUCAUAUUAUGCAAAUAAGAAUGUUGAAAAUGAGAACUUUGAGCCAUGGAUGUUAGCUGAUCACCGAAGAAAGAGGAAUGGUCGGAAAUAAAGUGAUGACCAGUAAGCAAAGAAAGGGGCGGAUUCGUCGGGAUCUAGGUUUGAUA
rnacentral:lncRNA from 1 species